GUGCUAACUUCAGCGGCACAAAUACUAAAAUUGGAAAGAUACAGAGAAGUUUUGGAUGGCCCCUGCACAGGAUGACAUGCAAAUCUGUGAAGCAUUCCAUAUAUUU
rnacentral:snRNA from 1 species